CCUACGGUGUGCUGCAGUGGGGAAUAUUGCACAAUGGGGGAAACCCUGAUGCAGCGACGCCGCGUGAGUGAAGAAGUAAUUCGUUAUGUAAAGCUCUAUCAGCAGGGAAGAAAAUGACGGUACCUGAGUAAGAAGCCCCGGCUAACUACGUGCCAGCAGCCGCGGUAACACGUAGGGGGCAAGCGUUAUCCGGAUUUACUGGGUGUAAAGGGAGCGUAGGCGGCAGUGCAAGUCUGGAGUGAAAGGCGGGGGCUCAACCCCCGGACUGCUCUGGAAACUGUACGGCUGGAGUGCAGGAGAGGUAAGUGGAAUUCCUAGUGUAGCGGUGAAAUGCGUAGAUAUACGGAGGAACACCAGUGGCGAAGGCGGAUUGCUGGACAGUAACUGACGCUGAGGCGCGAAAGCGUGGGGAGCAAACAGGAUUAGAUACCCUUGUAGUC
rnacentral:rRNA from 1 species